rnacentral:rRNA from 1 species
CCUACGGGUGGCAGCAGUGGGGAAUAUUGGACAAUGGGGGGAACCCUGAUCCAGCCAUGCCGCGUGUGUGAAGAAGGCCCUCGGGUUGUAAAGCACUUUCAGUGAGGAAGAACGCCUGGUGGUUAAUACCCAUCAGGAAAGACAUCACUCACAGAAGAAGCACCGGCUAACUCCGUGCCAGCAGCCGCGGUAAUACGGAGGGUGCGAGCGUUAAUCGGAAUUACUGGGCGUAAAGCGCGCGUAGGUGGCUUGAUAAGCCGGUUGUGAAAGCCCCGGGCUCAACCUGGGAACGGCAUCCGGAACUGUCAAGCUAGAGUGCAGGAGAGGAAGGUAGAAUUCCCGGUGUAGCGGUGAAAUGCAUAGAGAUCGGGAGGAAUACCAGUCGCGAAGGCGGCCUUCUGGACUGACACUGACACUGAGGUGCGAAAGCGUGGGUAGCAAACAGGAUUAGAUACCCCAGUAGUC